UACGGUUACCUUGUUACGACUUAGCCCCAGUUACUUAAGAGUUUGAUCUGGCUCAGGACGAACGCUGGCGGCGUGCUUAACACAUGCAAGUUGAACGGUCCGGCAUGGAAGCUUGCUGAAGUGUCGGGUAGUAGCGGACGGGUGAGUAAUGCAUGAGAAGCUGCCAUUGGGAGGGGGACAACAGUUGGAAACGGCUGCUAAUACCCCAUAUGCCGGAAGGUGAAACGGAGUGAUCCGCCCGAUGAGGUGCUCAUGUCCUAUCAGCUUGUUGGUGAGGUAACGGCUCACCAAGGCGACGACGGGUAGCCGGCCUGAGAGGGCGACCGGCCACACUGGAACUGAGAUACGGUCCAGACUCCUACGGGAGGCAGCAGUGGGGAAUAUUGGGCAAUGGGGGAAACCCUGACCCAGCGACGCCGCGUGAGGGAAGACGGCCUUCGGGUUGUAAACCUCUUUUGUACGGGAAGAAGGACGUGACGGUACCGUGCGAAUAAGUCCCGGCUAACUACGUGCCAGCAGCCGCGGUAAUACGUAGGGGACGAGCGUUGUCCGGAAUUACUGGGCGUAAAGGGCGCGCAGGCGGUAUAUCAAGUCAGCUGUCAAAGACUGGGGCUCAACCCUGGUAUGCGGUUGAAACUGAUAUGCUGGAGUGCUGUAGAGGCAAGUGGAAUUCCCAGUGUGGCGGUGAAAUGCGUAGAUAUUGGGAAGAACACCGGUGGCGAAGGCGACUUGCUGGGCAGC
rnacentral:rRNA from 1 species